rnacentral:rRNA from 1 species
AACGAACGCUGGCGGCAGGCCUAACACAUGCAAGUCGAGCGCGCCCUUCGGGGUGAGCGGCGGACGGGUGAGUAACGCGAGGGAACGUUCACUUUUCUACGGAAUAGCUUCGGGAAACGGAGAGUAAUACCGAAUACGCCCUAAGGGGGAAGGAUUUCUCGGAAAAGAAUCGGCGCGCGUUGGAUUAGGUAGUUGGUUGGGUAAUGGCCUACCAAGCCGACGAUGCAUAGCUGGGUUGAGAGGAAGAUCAGCGACACUGGGACUGAGACACGGCCCGGACUCCUACGGGAGGCAGCAGUGGGGAAUCUUAGACCAUGGGGGCAACCCUGAUCGAGCCAUGCCGCGUGAGUGAUGAAGGCCUUAGGGUUGUAAAGCUCUUUCAGCUGGGAAGAUAAUGACGGUACCAGCAGAAGAAGCCCCGGCUAACUCCGUG